rnacentral:rRNA from 1 species
ACGCUGGCGGCGUGCUUCAUACAUGCAAGUCGAACGAUAAGGCACCUUCGGGUGUACAUAAGUGGCGGACGGGUGAGUAAUAUGUAGAGAAUCUGCCCUAGAGAGUGGGACAACAGUUGGAAACGACUGCUAAUACCGCAUAUGAGCGUACCUGAAAUGGUAUUCUUGAAAACUCCGGUGCUCUGGGAUGAGUCUGCAUCUGAUUAGCUAGUUGGGGGUGUAAUGGACCACCAAGGCGACGAUCAGUAGCUGGUUUGAGAGGAUGAUCAGCCACAAUGGGACUGAGACACGGCCCAUACUCCUACGGGAGGCAGCAGUAGGGAAUUUUGCGCAAUGGGGGAAACCCUGACGCCAGCAACGCCGCGUGACCGAUGAAGCCCUUCGGGGUGUAAAGGUCUGUCAGUGGGGACGAAUAUUGACGGUACCCACAGAGGAAGCAUCGGCUAACUCCGUGCCAGCCGCCGC